rnacentral:rRNA from 1 species
AUGUGUGGCCAAACCUGCUUGUAAAAACCUGAUCUCAUCAGAUCUCAAAAGUUAAGCAGGACUGGGCCUGGUUAGUACUUGGAUAGAAGACCACUGUCAAUUUCAGGUACCACAGUGA